UCCUUGAUGGUCCAGUGGUCAGGACUCAGAACUUUCAUUGCUGGGGUCCAGGUUCAAUCCCUGGUCAGGGAA